GUUAUAUGGUCAAGCGAAUAAGCGCACACGGUGGAUGCCUUGGCGGUCAGAGGCGAUGAAGGACGUGGCAGCCUGCGAAAAGUAUCGGGGAGCUGGCAACAAGCUUUGAUCCGGUAAUGUCCGAAUGGGGAAACCCACCCGCUUGCGGGUAUCCUGCAGUGAAUACAUAGCUGCUGGAAGCGAACCUGGUGAACUGAAAUAUCUAAGUAACCAGAGGAAAAGAAAUCAACCGAGAUUCCGUAAGUAGCGACGAGCGAACGCGGACUAGCCCUUAAGCUGAUUUGGUUCUAGGAAAACGCUCUGGAAAGAGCGGCCAUAGAAGGUGAUAGCCCUGUAUCUGAAAGGGCCAUUUCAGUGAAGACGAGUAGGGCGGGGCACGUGAAACCCUGUCUGAACAUGGGGGGACCAUCCUCCAAGGCUAAAUACUACUGACCGACCGAUAGUGAACCAGUACCGUGAGGGAAAGGCGAAAAGAACCCCGGAGAGGGGAGUGAAAUAGAACCUGAAACCGUGUGCGUACAAGCAGUAGGAGCUCCGCAAGGAGUGACUGCGUACCUUUUGUAUAAUGGGUCAGCGACUUACUGUUCGUGGCAAGCUUAACCGUAUAGGGGAGGCGAAGGGAAACCGAGUCUGAUAAGGGCGCAUAGUCGCGGGCAGUAGACCCGAAACCGGGUGAUCUAGUCAUGCCCAGGGUGAAGGUGCGGUAACACGCACUGGAGGCCCGAACCCACUCCCGUUGCAAAGGUAGGGGAUGAGGUGUGAUUAGGAGUGAAAAGCUAAUCGAACCCGGAGAUAGCUGGUUCUCCUCGAAAGCUAUUUAGGUAGCGCCUCAUAUGUAUCCUCUCGGGGGUAGAGCACUGUUAUGGCUAGGGGGUCAUCGCGACUUACCAAACCAUUGCAAACUCCGAAUACCGAGACGGACUGUAUGGGAGACACACGGCGGGUGCUAACGUCCGUCGUGAAAAGGGAAACAACCCAGACCCACAGCUAAGGUCCCAAAUUUUGUGCUAAGUGGAAAACCAUGUGGAAAGGCACAGACAGCCAGGAGGUUGGCUUAGAAGCAGCCACCCUUUAAAGAAAGCGUAAUAGCUCACUGGUCGAGUCGGUCUGCGGGGAAGAUUUAACGGGGCUAAGCACAGAACCGAAGCUUGGGGUGCAUACUUUGUAUGCGCGGUAGAGGAGCGUUCCGUAAGCCGUUGAAGGUGGAUUGAGAAGUCUGCUGGAGGUAUCGGAAGUGCGAAUGCUGACAUGAGUAACGAUAAUGCGGGUGAAAAACCCGCACGCCGAAAGCCCAAGGUUUCCUUGCGCAACGUUAAUCGGCGCAGGGUGAGUCGGCCCCUAAGGCGAGGACGAAAGUCGUAGUCGAUGGGAAGCAGGUUAAUAUUCCUGCACCUCGCGUAAGUGCGAUGGAGGGACGGAGAAGGUUAGGUGUACCAGGCGUUGGUUGUCCUGGGGAAAGGCGGUAGGUUUGGAUCUUUGGCAAAUCCGGGAUCCUCUAAGACCGAGCACCGAGACGAGCCUUUAUGGCGAAGUCACUGAUACCACGCUUCCAGGAAAAGCUCCUAAGCUUCAGCUUACGCAGACCGUACCGUAAACCGACACAGGUGGGUAGGAUGAGAAUUCUCAGGCGCUUGAGAGAACUCGGGUGAAGGAACUAGGCAACAUGGCACCGUAACUUCGGGAGAAGGUGCACCCUUUUUGGUGGCUCGUGCGAGCUAUAGCUGAAGAGGGUCGCAGUAACCAGGCCGCUGCGACUGUUUAUCAAAAACACAGCACUCUGCAAACACGAAAGUGGACGUAUAGGGUGUGACGCCUGCCCGGUGCUGGAAGGUUAAUUGAUGGGGUCAGCCGCAAGGCGAAGCUCUUGAUCGAAGCCCCAGUAAACGGCGGCCGUAACUAUAACGGUCCUAAGGUAGCGAAAUUCCUUGUCGGGUAAGUUCCGACCUGCACGAAUGGCGUAACGACAGCGGCGCUGUCUCCACCCGAGACUCAGUGAAAUUGAAAUCGCUGUGAAGAUGCAGCGUUCCCGUGGCAAGACGGAAAGACCCCGUGAACCUUUACUAUAGCUUUACACUGAACGUUGAGUUCGUCUGUGUAGGAUAGGUGGGAGGCUAUGAAACCAUGGCGCUAGCUGUGGCGGAGCCAUCCUUGAAAUACCACCCUGUCGUGCUUGACGUUCUAACCUGGGCCCAUUAUCUGGGUCGGGGACCGUGUAUGGUGGGUAGUUUGACUGGGGCGGUCUCCUCCUAAAGAGUAACGGAGGAGCUCGAAGGUACGCUCAGCGCGGUCGGACAUCGCGCACUGUGUGCAAAGGCAUAAGCGUGCUUGACUGCAAGAUCGACGGAUCAAGCAGGUAGGAAACUAGGACUUAGUGAUCCGGUGGUUCUGUAUGGAAGGGCCAUCGCUCAACGGAUAAAAGGUACUCCGGGGAUAACAGGCUGAUACCGCCCAAGAGUUCAUAUCGACGGCGGUGUUUGGCACCUCGAUGUCGGCUCAUCACAUCCUGGGGCUGUAGUCGGUCCCAAGGGUAUGGCUGUUCGCCAUUUAAAGUGGUACGCGAGCUGGGUUCAGAACGUCGUGAGACAGUUCGGUCCCUAUCUGCCAUGGGCGUUGGAGAUUUGAGAGGGGCUGCUCCUAGUACGAGAGGACCGGAGUGGACGAACCUCUGGUGUUCCGGUUGUCACGCCAGUGGCAUUGCCGGGUAGCUAUGUUCGGAAGCGAUAACCGCUGAAAGCAUCUAAGCGGGAAGCGCGCCUCAAGAUGAGAUCUCCCGGGGCACAAGCCCCCUGAAGGAACCAUGUAGACUACGUGGUUGAUAGGUCAGGUGUGUAAGUACAGCAAUGUAUUGAGCUAACUGAUACUAAUGAUCCGAGAGGCUUGACCAUAUAACCU
rnacentral:rRNA from 2 species